AUGGUGGAUCCUCUGUCAAUAGCAGCAAUUGGAUGGGGCCUAACCGCCACAGGGUGGUUCGUCUCCCCAUACAUCACCAGGCUUCUGGACAAAGCCUACGCCCACAUCAAGCCAGGCAAAGCAAGCAAGAAGAUUCGGCUCCUGGUAACUCAGACUGUCCCUCGGUUGAAGCUUAUUCUAGAAGCAGCAGAGGGCAGCGAACAUAAGGAUCUUUUCGAGGAGUUGCUGACAGAUCUCAGAUCUGCUUUCUAUGCCACUGAAGACAUCCUGGAUGAAGUUGAGUACGUUCGUCGACUCAAGAUUGGGAGUAAGCGUAAAUUUGAUUCAUGUGUUGAAGAUAGCUCCUCAAGCCAGGGCAUUGGUACUUCAUCAAGUUUGACUAUCCCGGGCCCUUUAAGUAAACUUCUGAAGGAAAAUGUGACCAAGAUAGAAGAACUUAUUGAGAAAGUACAUAAAACUAUUGAAUCGGCAAACCUGCAAAGCAACAAUGGAAGUGACAAACGUAUAGCAACUACUACUGCAAAAAAUGUACAAGGGCCCACUCUUUCAGUCCCAACGGGCAAGGUAACAGGCAGAGAUGAGGAUCUUAAGAAGAUAACGGAUAUGCUUCGUCAGGCAGAAGACGAUACGUGUUUAUCUGUAAUUGGAAUUAUUGGUAUUCCAGGGUCUGGGAAGACAACGCUGGCACAAUGUGUGUGCACGUCCGAGAGAAAUGAUGACUAUUUUGACCUUGUUAUGUGGAUUCAUGUUUCGGAAUAUUUUACCGUGCAAACCAUUUAUGGUGAGAUGUUCGAGCAAGCUUGGCAAAAAUUUGGGGAGAAGGAUAAAAAAUACCCUCAAUAUAGUAGCCUUGAUAUGCUGAGAGCGGAACUGGAGAAGGUGCUAAAUGGCAAACGAUUCUUCUUGGUACUGGAUGAUAUCUGGUUCAAUAAGUUACAACAGUUACUCUCUCCAUUAAAGGUUGGAAAGGAAGGAAGAAAGAUCCUCGUGACAAGUCGACACGAUUCACUGUCAUGCCUAGGUCCUGAUGUGAGAACUACUACGUAUCAAAUACCUGAUUUAGAUGAUGAAGCCUUCUUGAAACUGUUCAUGCAUUAUGCACUUGGUAAUAAGCUUGUACAUAAGGCAGAUGAAGGAAAGCUCCAAAGUAUUGGUGAGGAGAUUGCAAAAAAACUGAAGAAAUCACCACUAUUAGCAAGAGUAGUAGGAGGAAUCCUAUUUCAAAAAAGAAUGGUUAAGGUUACCGAUUGGAGAAGUGUUAAAGAUCAGAAUCUCUUGGAUAAGCACAUGGGAGCUCUGUGGUGGAACUACAAUCAUCUUGGUGAGCAGGUCAGGCGGUGCUUUGCUUAUUGCAGCAUUUUCCCUAGAAGACAUCCUUUGCGCCGUGAUGAGUUAAUUAACCUGUGGGUGGCAGAAGGGUUUAUUAAUACCACAACCGGAGGACAGGAAGCUGAAGAUGUUGGUCAGGAUUAUUUUGAUGAAUUGUUGUCCACCUCAUUUCUGCUUCCUGGAUGGAAGGAUCACAUGCAUGGACAUGAGUACUUUGUAAUUCAUGAUCUACUUCAUGAUUUAGCAGUGAAGGUUGCAGGAAGUGAUUGCUUCAAAAUUGAGAAUGAAUGGACAGGAAAUAUUUCUAUAGAUGUUCGCCAUCUUUAUAUCCAGAGGUGUAAUGCAUCCAUGCUUACUGAGCAUAUUAUCAAACUGAAAAACUUGCGGAGUCUUAUCAUUUAUGAGAUUGACUAUGACAUAAGCAAACAAGUCCUUGAGGAGAUGUUUAGGAAGUUAAGUAAGCUGCGGGUACUGAUCUUGACAGCUACAAGUUGUCCUUCUCAGUUUAUUUUCCCAGAAUCUAUUGGUUCUUUAAAGUAUCUGCGCUAUCUUGGUAUUCAGAGAUUUGCUGACAACAUAACAAUGCCAAGCACAUUUGCCAAGCUUUACCUUCUGCAAGUGCUUGAUUUGGGUGAUGCGUGCAGUGUUCAUUCCUCCUUUGGUGAAAAUAUCAUUAAACUCUUUGACUUGCGGCAUGUAAUCAGUACAGUUGUGUGUUUUCCAAGCAUUGGCAGACUGACAUCACUUCGCACGAUGCCAAAAUUAUCUCUUUAUCCGGAAGAAGGCCUUGAUGGGUACGAGUUACACCAGCUGAAGCACCUCAACAAGCUUCAAGGCAAGCUUACAAUUGGAUGUCUUGAGUACACUAAAAGCAAGGAGGAAGCUCUUGAAGCCAAGCUAGCUGAUAAGGAACACCUCACAGAACUGAAAAUGUUAUGGUAUGAUGAGUACAUUUGUACCCCAGAUAUAGAAGAAGCGCAAGCAGAAGUAGAAGCAGAUGUGCUCGAGGGUCUUUGCCCACCGGAGAAUAUUAAAUCAUUGACAAUAUCUGGUUACAGAGGUUCAAGGUAUCCAAGUUGGAUGGUUAGCACGCAGAAGAGCACAAUGCACCUGCACAACCUCGUGCUUGACUCGUGCGACCACCAGCCUGAUUCUAGCCCCGGACUCUUUUUCAUUCCUGUUAGUUCUCUCGAGCUACAUGGCUGCUGGUGGGACACCUUACCCUACAACAUGGAGGACCUCGAGUCGCUCUAUCUUCACGGUAGUAAUAUACCAUCCAAUAUGCAGCACCUCACGUCGCUCAAGAAACUGAUCAUCAAAUGUGAGGAACUUUAUUCAUACGAAGUUACUCUUCCAACACUGCCCAGUUGUCUUGAGUACAUUGAGAUUAGUGGCGGGAUAUACAUAGCAGAUAACAAAAUUUGGGAGAAGAUUAAGGAUGUUCCAAAUAAGGUUAUCGAUGGUUUGCCAAUUGAUGGCAUUGAAGAUUUUCCGUGGACUGAAGAUUCGUCAGACGAGGGCUCUGAGGCGACCGGAUAA
rnacentral:rRNA from 1 species